rnacentral:rRNA from 1 species
GGUGGUGCAUGGCCGUUCUUAGUUGGUGGAGCGAUUUGUCUGGUUUAUUCCGAUAACGAGCGAGACUCUAGCCUACUAAAUAGUGACCGGAUAGCUUGGUCCGGGUCACUUCUUAGAGGGACAAGCGGUGUUCAGCCGCAAUAAGUUGAGCAAUAACAGGUCUGUGAUGCCCUUAGAUGUCCGGGGCUGCACGCGCGCUACACUGGAGGAAUCAGCGUGCUUGACCCAUUGCCGAAAGGCAUUGGUAAACCCUUGAAAAUCCUCCGUGAUCGGGAUCGGGAAUUGCAAUUAUUUCCCUUGAACGAGGAAUUCCCAGUAAGUGUGAGUCAUCAGCUCACGUUGAUUACGUCCCUGCCCUUUGUA